CUGUCGUCAGCUCGUGUCGUGAGAUGGUUGGGUUAAGUCCCGUAACGAGCGCAACCCUUGUCCUUAGUUACCAGCACGUUAUGGUGGGCACUCUAAGGAGACUGCCGGUGACAACCGGAGGAAGGUGGGGAUGACGUCAAGUCAUCAUGGCCCUUACGGCCUGGGCUACACACGUGCUACAAUGGUCGGUACAAAGGGUUGCCAAGCCGCGAGGUGGAGCUAAUCCCAUAAAACCGAUCGUAGUCCGGAUCGCAGUCUGCAACUCGACUGCGUGAAGUCGGAAUCGCUAGUAAUCGUGAAUCAGAAUGUCACGGUGAAUACGUUCCCGGGCCUU
rnacentral:rRNA from 1 species